rnacentral:lncRNA from 10 species
GUCCACCCCUGGACAGGACAGGCUUUCCCAAAGAAGUUACACACAGAUGCUUCCCAGCCCCGGCUCAGGAGGGCUAGGAUCUGGGCUGUGACCACGUAAGGGCAUCUUGGACACAAUGCCAGGGUGUUGAGCUCACAACCAGUGGUCUGGAGCUUCGUGUAAACUGUGAUCCUCAAACUCCUCCUUGAGGGAGGAAAUGGGUGCCUUGGGAGGUCUAUGGAAGCCUAAGGGAAGGUGUUUUAUUUUAAAUUUUCAUGCAAAUUUUGCAUUAUACUGCAGUGCUUCCCCCAAUCCUGGAUUAAGUAUAUGUAUAAAAACACACACAAGUCUGGGCAACAUGGCGAAACCCCGUCUCUACAAAAAGUACAAACAUUAGAUGGGCGUGGUGGCAUGUGGCUGUCCCAGCUACUCGGGAGGCUGAGGUGGAGGUUACAGCGAGCUGAGAUCACGCCACUGCACUCCAGCCUGGGCGACAGAGCAAGACCCCUGUCUCAAAAAAUAAAUGAACAAAUUUUAAAAAUAAAUAAAAACAGACACAGAUCAAAUGACAAACCAAAUGGGGUAAAAUGUUAACAUCAGACAAAUCAUAUAUGGAUGGGCCUCGGACUAUUUUUAUAUUUACAACUUCUUGUAAGCUUGAAAUUGUUUCCAAAUAAGUUUAUUUUAAAACUCCACAAACCGAUCAAGGCUUGGAUAUAUAAUUCUGCUUCCUACUAUCCCCAGGAAAGGAGGAACCUGAAAGAAUCCAAGAGAGGAAAGAGAAAAAGAGCACAAGGCUGGGAAGAGAAAAGCAGACAAGGAGGGGAAGGGGGAGAGGGACACGGAGGGAACAGAAGUCCAGGCCUCAGUCACCCCACCAGACUUGAGUCUUAUCUCCAGCUGCCACUGCCCUGGGGGCAGGCUUAUUG